rnacentral:rRNA from 1 species
GGCUUGCGGCCUAUCAGCUAGUUGGUGGGGUAACGGCCUACCAAGGCGACGACGGGUAGCUGGUCUGAGAGGACGGCCAGCCGGACUGGGACUGAGAUACGGCCCAGACUCCUACGGGGGGCAGCAAUUAGGAAUCUUGCACAAUGGGGGAAACCCUGAUGCAGCGACGCCGCGUGAGGGAGGAAGUCCUUCGGGAUGUAAACCUCUUUUACCAGGGAAGAAACAAAUGACGGUACCUGGUGAAUAAGCUCCGGCUAACUACGUGCCAGCAGCCGCGGUAAUACGUAGGGAGCGAGCGUUGUCCGAAGUUACUGGGCGUAAAGCGCGCGUAGGCGGGUCGUUAAGUGAGAGGUGAAAGGCUGGGGCUCAACCUCAUGCAGUGCCUCUCAUACUGGCGGUCUUGAGUGAGGUAGAGAGAAGUGGAAUGGCUGGUGUAGCGGUGAAAUGCGUAGAUAUCAGUCGGAACACCGGUGGCGAAGGCGGCUUCUUGGGCCUUUACUGACGCUGAGGCGCGAAAGCUGGGGGAGCGAACGGGAUUAGAUACCCCGGUAGUCCCAGCCGUAAACGAUGGAUACUAGGUGUCGGGGGUAUCGACCCCUCCGGUGCCGCAGCGAACGCAUUAAGUAUCCCGCCUGGGGAGUACGGCCGCAAGGUUGAAACUCAAAUGAAUUGACGG